ensembl:lncRNA novel transcript, antisense to ZBTB47
GAUCCGCCCGCCUCGGCCUCCCAAAGUGCUGGGAUUACAGGCGUGAGCCACCGCGCCUGGCCUCUGUCCCUUUUAAAUGGUGCAUCUGAUCAUCACUUGCUCACCCCACCAGCAGGUCCCAGAGGGACACAGCACCUGAGCAAGCUCUGGAGGUGGUCCUGUCCCUCUUGCUGAAAAGGCAAGGGCUCACUCAGGGAGGGCAGGUGGUGAGCUUCCAGCCCAGCCCUGGACUGCAGGGCAUUGCUAGCAAGCACAGCCAGUGAGGAGACGAGGCUUGAGAGGCUAGGCACCUUGGCCAAGUCACACAGCGGACAUGGGCUGCGCCAGGAUUUGAAGCAGAUCUGCCCUCUUACAAAGACUGUGGGAACCCUUCCCUACCUUGCUGCCUCUCGUGAAUUAACAAAAACGUUCAUCAAUCGUAGUCUCAUUUUCAAAGACCAGGCCAGAAGAUACUGACUGAACAAUUUACUUAGAUUUAUCAAAUGACUUAAUGAAAUAUUUUUAGAUUAUGAUGGAUCCCAUAGUGCUCACUGCCUACCAGGCAUUCAAGUAGAACAUGUGUAUGUGGCUCAUUCAUUCAUCAAGAACCUGUGCACUGCUUUAAAUGCUGAAGAGUCAGCAGUGAGCAAAUCAGGCAGGAAUUCCGGUCUUCAUGGAGCUUACAUUCGUCAGGAGGUCGGGGCAAGGUUGGUAGGGGAGACAGAAAUAAAUAAAUAGUUAUACGGGGCAUCAGAUGAUGGUUAUGGCUGUGGAGACAAGUGAAACGGAAGGCGCAUGGGAAGUGGGAGGAGGAGGUGGUAACGAUUUUAAAUGGAGUAGUCAGGAUGGACUCACCGAGAGGAUCACAUUUGAGAGGGGUCAAACCGUGGAGGAUUCCCAGUGGGGGAACAGCUGGAGCAAAGGUCCUGAGGCAAGAGAGUGCCUGGCACGUUCCCAAAACAGCACGGAGGCCAAUAGGGCUGGAGCAGUGAACGAGGAGGUGAAGCCAAGAACUCUCCCAGGCUAAGCCCCAAUUUUGAGACUCGCCUGUCCUGCAUCACUAGGGCAUAAACGUGACAGAUCUGACACUUAGACACACCCACAUAAGACUGAUUCAGGUCCCAAGGCUGUCAUCUGUGGUGGCAGGAGGUUCAUCCCAUCUGCAGCCAGUGGAACCUUAGGAGGCAGUGCUCCUCUAUUUUAUUGCUGACCCUCCAGAGACUUUAGAAAGCAGCUCUACAGGCUGGAUACCUCUCAACCUGACCUCUGGAGACUGCAAGGCCCAAGUGUAGGAAAGGAUAUGGCUACUCACCUAUCUUUUUUUUUUCUUUGAGACAGAAUCUUGCUCUGUCACCUAGGCUGGAGUGCAGUGGCGUGAUCUCGGCUCACUGCAACCUCCGCCUCCCAGGUUCUAAUGAUCGUAAUGAUCCUUUUGCCUCAGCCUCCUGAGUAGCUGGGAUUACAGAUGCAUGCCACCAUGCCUGGCUAAUUUUUUUUUUUCAUUAGAGAUGGGGUUUCACCAUGUUGGCCAGGAAGGUCUUGAACUCCUGACUUUGAGUGAUCUGCUCGCCUCAGCCUCCCAAAGUGCUGGGAUUACAGGCGUGAGCCACCGUGCCUGGCAGCUACUCAACGAUCUUUCCAGCUCUCCUCUCCUUCCGGCCACACAGGAGGGUUGCGUGUCCACACCCCCCUGAAGUAAGGCAUGAUGCCAGAACUUGCUUUGGAUGAUGACACAGAAACAGCAGUGAUACACCACUUCUGGAUGGCAGCACUGAAGAGCCAAGGUGUGAUUCUCCAACCUGUCUUUUCCCUGGCUCUGUUCAGUCUAGAGGCCCAUGUUGAUAUGGAGGUGCCCCAAGGUCAAAGCCUGGAAUUCUGGGCCACCAAAUAGAGAAUGACUGCCCUGGAACAUCCCCUCAGAGCCACAGAUGUUGAGUCACUGAGGUUAGGAGGUGGUUUGUUACUGCAGCAGAACUCAGCCUAACCUGACUUAUUCACCAGUCCUGGUUCUAGAAAGCUACAUAAUCAGGGGGUAGGUAGGCCCAAAAGCACCACUAAGCCAGGGUGCCUCACCUCCCCUCAUUGAUCCUUUAGAAAGAAGGAAAGUCCGGCCUUCCCCAGCAAGGCAGUGCUGCUCUGACCUAUGCAUGCUUCAGGACAUGAGAUGUUAGUGAGCUGCUUGGUCCCAAAGAGCAAGAUCAGGGAAAGUGAGUGCUCCAGAGACACCAAUCGUGGUGCCCACCAUCCCACAGCCACCCAGAGGCCUCUGCCCCAGAGCCUAGGAUGACAGUGUCCAAGACUCUGGAGUGUGAAGGUGGAAAUGCUGUGAGAAUGAGGGAGGUGGGGGGAGGGCUGGAGGAAAAAGAGGUGUCAUGCAACCUGAUAUAGGAGGAGGUCAACAGAGUGGAAACACAGAGAUGAGUGGAAUCUGCACAAGAGUUGGGGGAGCAGCCAGGCCCCCAGGCCUGUCAGCCAGCCUUGUUUCAGGGUCUCUUGAGCAAGCCUGUGUUUCUUCCAUUCAUAGCAGGACUGUGCAGAAAGGCAGUGCCAACAUCCUAGGAACCUGCACCUCCUUUCUGGCCAGUCAACAAAUCCACCCAUGAGACUUCUCUCCCAGUCCCUCCCAGUCCUGUCUGACCCUUUUCUACAUAUACAGAGUUAAGUGCCACAAGGAGGCUCAUUCUGCACGUGUCCCCGGGGCCUAGAAUUCCAUUUGGCAUGGAGUGAGUGCUCUCUGUAUAUACUACUUGUGCCAUGAAACAAUUCUGAGUUCCCCAGGGAGAGCCAUCUGCUCCUCUGGAGGCUACCACCUGUCUUCCAUCUGAGCUUUUGUCUUCCCGGGUGCCUGAGUCAGCAUCUCUGUUAUCUGGCCCCUUCUGACCUCCCCUGCCUGCCGAGGGAGGAAUGAGUCCAUACUGCUCAUCACAGCAUCCCCAGGGCUCAGCACAUAAGUGGGAGCACCGGUCCCUGCUGUCCCAGAGCUACUGUGGCUCCAUGCCUGGUGCUCAUGGGAAACCACACCUGCACAGGCCCUGGCCUCUUGUGGCCAUUGCCUUCAGGACUUCUCCUCUUUCAUGCCCCUCUGCAUCUGACCCAAGACCCACCUAUUUGCCCAUCCCCCAUCCCCCACCGCUGCCCUUGCCUCAUCUCCUGACUCUGGGUGGUCCCCAAAGCCCAGCCCCUUGCUCUGGUCCAAGAGUCAAGGCAGGCCAAGUGCAAAGAAGAGGCUGGGCCAAGGGACACGAGUUGUACUGACUUUAUUCCCCUUCAUCCUCUCACUCGCAUGCCUGCUGUGCCCCAUGCUCUGGGGCUGUGGGGUGCCUGUACACGAGCAGUUGUCAAUGGUCUCAACACACACCUGGGCAUGGCCAUUCUGCCACUACCAAGCCCUCUGUGAAGGGCACCGUGGAGACUAUGGCAGCAUGAGCCAGGGUUGAAGGCUCCCAGAACUGUGGCCACAGGGCUUGAGUUCAUCACUCUAGCCACCCAUCGCCAGCUGGCCUGAGACCAGAGAGCCCCAAGGAGCCGGGGAGGGGGCAGACCCAGACUCCAGGCCUGAGUUCUAGCCAAACAGGCUGAGAAGUCCAGAUGGACGGUGGGACCCCCACAGAUCUCCUUGGGAGGGGAUGAUCCUGCGUCCCCCUUCCCCCAGCCCUGGAAAGUGAGUAUGGUGCCCUAGUCGCCUCAUUCUGACAUCUGGGGGCACAUUGUUUUUUUGUGUUGUUUUGUUUUAAAUAAAAAGAUGUAAAAGCUAGUAAAACAGGAACCCCUAUCCAUACUGGAACUGCUGAGGUGCCAUUAUUGCUUCUGGCCUUGUGGUCUGGCCGGAAAGGAGCCCCCACCAACAAUGGCCCAAGUGAAGAGAGUGCUUAGCACCAGGGACACAGGCUCCUAUCCCCAGUGGGGCAGGGGCCUCCCAGGAGAGGGGUUGGUUGUGCCCACCUAGAGCUCCCGUGACCGUCUUGACCAGCUGUCAAGCUGUCUGGUCAGCUGUCUGGACCCCUCACCUGAUCCCAGAGGGGAAGUGUACAAGAACAUGAAACCCAUGUCCCAGGACAGGGUUUCAUUGCCAGCUCCCCACCAGUGUCUCUGACCUCUGCUUGUCAGUAUGGCCUGACAGGUCUCAGCCUGGCCACGGCCACUCAGGCCUACUCAGGCUGUAGUGGGGCCAGCAGGUGAUGACACCACCAGUGCCUGUGGGAGAUCCUGGUGCCAGUGAUGGGGGUUGGAAACCCAUGGAGGACCCUGCCUACAGCCCACUGGGAGAGAUCAACUUUUUUUGGGAAAAUGUGAGCCAGCUCCAAAGAGCUGCCAGGCACUGGGACUAGAGAUUAAAAAUAGCAACAGGGAGGGGGGGACCCUGAGGACAUCACGGAAGCCCAAAGAUCAAGGAGUGCAAGGAAGAAAAAGAGCUACAGUAAAGCAGGAGCCUGGAGUCCCCAGCCUUGGGGUGGGGGUCCUGACCAGAAGCCUUCUUCCUCGGGGAGGGGCGAACCUUCUCUCCCCCAGGACAGCAGGAGCGCCUGAGCGUACGUCUACAGCUCCAACAUCAAUUGGGCAAGGAAGCUGCUGGCACUGUACCCUCCAAGCCCAGAGAACAACCAGGGUGGUGUGGCUUGGAUUAUAAAUCCUCAGAUCACUCGGGCACCUUGGGCCUGCCCAAAUCUGUACAGAAUAAAGUGCUUCGUUUAUUGAUGAUUAAAAUGUCCCCAGCUCCCUGCCCCAGUGCCAUGGGCCUCAUAAGGUCAGAGGGGUUCAGUCCCCCUAACCAUUCCCCCGGGGCCCAAGCCUCUUCCCACUCCAGCCAUGCUGGGAAGGCAAUAGUGUCGGGGAGUGGUGGGGGUUUAAGGUGCAAAGAGUAUAACAAACAAAACUGUAUAAACACAAUAGGAAAGAGCUUAACUAGGAAACAUGUAGCUUAUGGAACCUUCCUCCCCAUAUUAAAGGC